AAGACUAUGUUGAGCACGACUAUAUUAUGUCCUAAUGAAUUCUUAAUAUAUUGUAGCGAGGUGGGAAGAAAGUGUAAAACCACUAGUAUAUUUGAAUGUUUGUUUUUAAAUGAAUAUAUGGGAAGUUUGACUAAGGCUGUUUUGUUUUAAAAAGUAACACAUCUGUCCUAAGGUAGAUGAAUGAUAAAUGGUAACUAUCAGUUUAUUAUGAGGGAAUAAAUUUGCUUUAAUAUAUAUGGAUGAGUAUAUUUAGUAAAAAAAUCUUGGCCUUGCGAUCCCAAUUACAUUCAUUAUGUAUUGGGUGUUUGAAAAGUUACCACAGGUAUAUCUGGCUUGUAUCAGGCAAGCAAUUAUAACGAUUCUGCUUUUUGAUUCUUUGAUGUCGUUUCUUCUGAUCAUCUAAGUGUAUAUUUUACGAAGUGUUGAAUCGUUCACCCGAUAAUAAGAACCUUGGAUUGGUUUAGGCCGUCGUGAGAAUAGAUGGUU
rnacentral:ncRNA from 1 species